GGGCCCGCACAAGCGGUGGAGUAUGUGGUUUAAUUCGAUGCAACGCGAAGAACCUUACCAGGGUUUGACAUCCUGCGAAUCUCUUGGAAACGAGAGAGUGCCUUCGGGAACGCAGUGACAGGUGGUGCAUGGCUGUCGUCAGCUCGUGUCGUGAGAUGUUGGGUUAAGUCCCGUAACGAGCGCAACCCUUGUCCUUAGUUGCCAGCACAUUAUGGUGGGCACUCUAUGGAAACUGCCCGUGAUAAGCGGGAGGAAGGUGUGGAUGACGUCAAGUCCUCAUGGCCCUUACGGGUUGGGCUACACACGUGCUACAAUGCUACGGACAAAGGGCAGCAAACUCGCGAGAGCUAGCAAAUCCCAUAAACCGUGGCUCAGUUCAGAUCGUAGGCUGCAACUCGCCUACGUGAAGGAGGAAUCGCUAG
rnacentral:rRNA from 1 species